rnacentral:rRNA from 1 species
AUUGAACGCUGGCGGCAUGCUUUACACAUGCAAGUCGAACGGCAGCGCGGGGCAACCUGGCGGCGAGUGGCGAACGGGUGAGUAAUACAUCGGAACGUACCCAGAAGUGGGGGGUAACGUAGCGAAAGUUACGCUAAUACCGCAUACGUUCUACGGAAGAAAGUGGGGGACCGCAAGGCCUCAUGCUUUUGGAGCGGCCGAUGUCUGAUUAGCUAGUUGGUGAGGUAAAGGCUCACCAAGGCGACGAUCAGUAGCUGGUCUGAGAGGACGACCAGCCACACUGGGACUGAGACACGGCCCAGACUCCUACGGGAGGCAGCAGUGGGGAAUUUUGGACAAUGGGGGCAACCCUGAUCCAGCAAUGCCGCGUGAGUGAAGAAGGCCUUCGGGUUGUAAAGCUCUUUUGUCAGGGAAGAAAUCGCAGAGGCUAAUAUCCUGUGCGGAUGACGGUACCUGAAGAAUAAGCACCGGCUAACUACGUGCCAGCAGCCGCGGUAAGAC